rnacentral:rRNA from 1 species
UACGGAGGGGGCUAGCGUUGUUCGGAAUUACUGGGCGUAAAGCGCACGUAGGCGGCUUUGGAAGGUAGAGGUGAAAGCCCGGGGCUCAACUCCGGAAUUGCCUUUAAGACUGCAUCGCUAGAAUUGUGGAGAGGUAAGUGGAAUUCCGAGUGUAGAGGUGAAAUUCGUAGAUAUUCGGAAGAACACCAGUGGCGAAGGCGACUUACUGGACACAUAUUGACGCUGAGGUGCGAAAGCGUGGGGAGCAAACAGG